rnacentral:rRNA from 1 species
AUUGAACGCUGGCGGCAUGCCUUACACAUGCAAGUCGAACGGUAACAGGUCUUCGGAUGCUGACGAGUGGCGAACGGGUGAGUAAUACAUCGGAACGUGCCCGAUCGUGGGGGAUAACGAAGCGAAAGCUUUGCUAAUACCGCAUACGAUCUACGGAUGAAAGCAGGGGACCGCAAGGCCUUGCGCGAACGGAGCGGCCGAUGGCAGAUUAGGUAGUUGGUGGGAUAAAAGCUUACCAAGCCGACGAUCUGUAGCUGGUCUGAGAGGACGACCAGCCACACUGGGACUGAGACACGGCCCAGACUCCUACGGGAGGCAGCAGUGGGGAAUUUUGGACAAUGGGCGAAAGCCUGAUCCAGCCAUGCCGCGUGCAGGAUGAAGGCCUACGGGUUGUAAACUGCUUUUGUACGGAACGAAAAGACUCUGGUUAAUACCUGGGGUCCAUGACGGUACCGUAAGAAUAAGCACCGGCUAACUACGUGCCAGCCGCCGCAGUAA